GUCUUGCUCGUUGGAUGCUGCACUACUGGCUGUCAACAUUCUGCGCUAAAUUCCUCCCCUUUUCUCCGCCACACGUACAGGCAGCCAUCACUUCCGAUGCUGAUUUUCACCUCAUCGGAAAAGACAACACGUUUCCAGUCCUCCGACAUCCAGCCACGAUGGGUGACCGCCCACGCACGUCGACAUCGCUGAUGUUCACAAUUCAAUUGCGGCUUCUUGCGUGGACGGCGAGCACAAAUUCCUUUUUCCCUGAGACGGCGAGUGAUGGUUCUUCGGGACAAUGACUUCCCACGUGCCGCUGAAAGUCUACCUUGCAACCGUCUCGUCGUCACUUUUCUGUCAGUAUAAGUGCAAGUCGUUCGAGUAAACGAUCCUCCCUAGCCGACGUUCAUCUUUUCCUUCCAGAUCGCUUGAUGUAAUCACUACUGCCUUCUUCCCAUCGUUUCACACACUUCUGUACUGCCCCACGAGACUUUCCUACGUACCAAUCUGGCAAUUUCACGAUGAGACAAGCCCGUCUGGUGGAGACCUUCGAUCUUGCCUCUAGAACGUGGGCCGAGUUGGCGAGCGCUUGGCAUUUACGCAAUAGAACACGACAGUGAGAUACUGAAAAAAUCAGCUGAAUGCGACUUGAGAGAAAGCACGGGUGAUUUGAGAAGACAGCUGACCAUUUCCCCACUAGAAAUUGCUUAGCGCUCAAUCGAAACAGCUCAUUUCUCUAUAACAGUCGCCAUAUUUGUGUACAUUGUUGCAAACCUAAAGUCACUCCGUCAGCAAUCUUUGCUAACUGGACUGUGACAGAAAGAACUGGACAGGACAUUGGCACUGCAGAACAAGUUUCAGCAAUGCAGAACAGUGACCAACGAAAUUUAGUCUCAAUUGCUGGUCUAAACCGUUCAUGUUGUGACGUCACAAGAGCAGAUGAGAAUAGACUCAGAAUAUGCAAAUCUCUGUUGAAGGUCAGUAUUUCAGUCGUGGUCUGCUAUGUGAGUUAGGCUCUUUGCAGUACUUUCUUGAUCGCGUCCCGAAGCCGAGGAGACAACAAGGAAUCGUUGUUCUUCCUCGCAACCCUGAUGUGACGAUUUCUAUCAACAAAAGUGACGGAGGAUGAACAUGAAAUGAAGGUCAACUUUCUUCUUUAAUAUUCAGUGCUUCUACUAUAGUAUGGAAACAGACCAGUAACUACAAGCAAACAACUAUGAACACAGCUCUACGUAUGUAUAGCAUGUACUAA